GACGAACGCUGGCGGCGUGCCCAAUACAUGCAACUCGAACGCUUCUUUCCUCCCGAGUGCCUGCACUCAAUUGGUAAGAGGAGUUGCGGACGGGUGAGUAACACGUGGGUACCUUACCAUCUAGAGGGGGAUACCUCUCGGAAAACGGUGCUUAUACGUCUUAACCGUUUUUGCCGCAUGGCACCAAUAUGAAUGGCGCUUUCGGCUUUCGCUGAUGGUUGAACCCGCGGUGCAUUAGCUAGUUGGUGAGGUAACGGCUCACCAAGGCCAGGAUGCAUAGCCGACCUGCGGGGGUGGUCGGCCACACGGGGACUGAGACACGGCCCAGACUCCUACGGGAGGCAUCAGUAGGGAAUCUUCGGCAAUAGACGGAAGUCUGACCGAGCAACGCCGCGUGAGUGAAGAAGGUUUUCGGAUCGUAAAACUCGGUUGUUAGAGAAGAACAAGGACGUUAGUAACUGAACGUCCCCUGACGGUAUCUAACCAGAAGGCCACGGCUGACUACGGG
rnacentral:rRNA from 1 species